GAAAUGCGAUAAGUAGUGUGAAUUGCAGAAUUCAGUGAAUCAUCGAAUCUUUGAACGCACAUUGCGCCCUUUGGUAUUCCGAAGGGCAUACCUGUUCGAGCGUCAUUUCACCUCUCAAGCCUCUGUGCUUGGUCUUGGGCGGCUGUUGUCUGCACGACCCGCCUUAAAGUGAUCGGCUGCUGGUACCUGGACUACGGCGCACAGUAGAAUGUGGACGGCCGGGGUGCACGGGUGCCGGGCAGGCUGUACAAACGUCUUUUAUGUUUUGACCUCGGAUCAGGUAGGAAUACCCGCUGAACUUAA
rnacentral:misc_RNA from 1 species